rnacentral:rRNA from 1 species
UGGGGACUAUUGCGCAAUGGUCGAAAGACUGACGCAGCGACGCCGCGUGUGGGAGGAAGCCUUUCGGGGUGUAAACCACUGUCAGAUGGGAAGAACAAUGCAUGUUCGAAUAGGGCAUGCACCUGACGGUACCAUCAGAGGAAGCGCCGGCUAACUCCGUGCCAGCAGCCGCGGUAAGACGGAGGGCGCAAGCGUUGUUCGGAAUUACUGGGCGUAAAGCGCGGGCAGGUGGUCUGUUAAGUCUUCUGUGAUACUCCGGGGCUCAACCCCCGACAUGCAGGAGAUACUGGCAGACUUGAGACCGGUAGAGGCUAGCGGAAUUCCUGGUGUAGCGGUGGAGUGCGUAGAUAUCAGGAAGAACACCGGUGGCGAAGGCGGCUAGCUGGGCCGGGUCUGACACUCAUCCGCGAAAGCGUGGGGAGCAAACAGGAUUAGAUACCCCCGUAGUCC